CAUAGCCGCGGUAAUACAGAGGAUGCAAGCGUUAUCCGGAAUGAUUGGGCGUAAAGCGUCUGUAGGUGGCUUUUCAAGUCCGCCGUCAAAUCCCAGGGCUCAGUCCUGGACAGGCGGUGGAAACUACCAAGCUGGAGUACGGUAGGGGCAGAGGGAAUUUCUGGUGGAGCGGUGAAAUGCGUUGAGAUCGGAAAGAACACCAACGGUGAAAGCACUCUGUUGGGCCGACACUGACACUGAGAGACGAAAGCUAGGGGAGCAAAUGGGAUUAGAUACCCCCGUAGUCCCUGUCUCUUAUACA
rnacentral:rRNA from 1 species